GAUGAACGCUGGCGGCGUGCUUAACACAUGCAAGUCGAACGGUGAAAGAGAGCUUGCUCUCUGGAUCAGUGGCGAACGGGUGAGUAACACGUGAGCAAUCUGCCCCUGACUCUGGGAUAAGCGCUGGAAACGGCGUCUAAUACCGGAUACGAGCUGCGAAGGCAUCUUCAGCAGCUGGAAAGAACUUCGGUCAGGGAUGAGCUCGCGGCCUAUCAGCUAGUUGGUGAGGUAACGGCUCACCAAGGCGUCGACGGGUAGCCGGCCUGAGAGGGUGACCGGCCAAACUGGGACUGAGACACGGCACAGACUCCUACGGGAGGCAGCAGUGGGGAAUAUUGCACAAUGGGCGAAAGCCUGAUGCAGCAACGCCGCGUGAGGGACGACGGCCUUCGGGUUGUAAACCUCUUUUAGCAGGGAAGAAGCGAAAGUGACGGUACCUGCAGAAAAAGCACCGGCUAACUACGUG
rnacentral:rRNA from 1 species